rnacentral:rRNA from 2 species
UAGAGUUUGAUCCUGGCUCAGGAUGAACGCUGGCGGUAUGCUUAACACAUGCAAGUCGAACGGGGGUCUUCGGACCCUAGUGGCGGACGGGUGAGUAACGCGUGAGAAUCUACCUUCAGGUUGGGGACAACAGUUGGAAACGGCUGCUAAUACCCAAUGUGCCGGGAGGUGAAAGGCUUGCUGCCUGAAGAAGAGCUCGCGUCUGAUUAGCUAGUUGGAGUGGUAAUGGCACACCAAGGCAACGAUCAGUAGCUGGUCUGAGAGGAUGAUCAGCCACACUGGGACUGAGACACGGCCCAGACUCCUACGGGGGGCAGCAGUGGGGAAUUUUCCGCAAUGGGCGAAAGCCUGACGGAGCAAUACCGCGUGAGGGAGGAAGGCUUUUGGGUUGUAAACCUCUUUUGAUUGGGAAGAAGAACUGACGGUACCAAUCGAAUCAGCAUCGGCUAACUCCGUGCCAGCAGCCGCGGUAAUACGGAGGAUGCAAGCGUUAUCCGGAUUUAUUGGGCGUAAAGCGUCCGCAGGUGGCUUAUCAAGUCUGCUGUCAAAGCGCGGAGCUUAACUCCGUACAGGCGGUGGAAACUGGUAGGCUAGAGUCUGGUAGGGGUUGCGGGAAUUCCCAGUGUAGCGGUGAAAUGCGUAGAUAUUGGGAAGAACACCGGCGGCGAAAGCGCGCAACUGGACCGGAACUGACACUCAUGGACGAAAGCUAGGGGAGCGAAAGGGAUUAGAUACCCCUGUAGUCCUAGCCGUAAACGAUGGAGACUAGGUGUUGCCCGUAUCGACCCGGGCAGUGCCGUAGCUAACGCGUUAAGUCUCCCGCCUGGGGAGUACGCACGCAAGUGUGAAACUCAAAGGAAUUGACGGGGGCCCGCACAAGCGGUGGAGUAUGUGGUUUAAUUCGAUGCAACGCGAAGAACCUUACCAGGGCUUGACAUGUCGCGAAUCCUCCUGAAAGGGGGGAGUGCCUACGGGAGCGCGAACACAGGUGGUACAUGGCUGUCGUCAGCUCGUGUCGUGAGAUGUUGGGUUAAGUCCCGCAACGAGCGCAACCCUCGUUUCUAGUUGCCAUCAUUAAGUUGGGCACUCUGGAGAGACUGCCGGUGACAAACCGGAGGAAGGUGGGGAUGACGUCAAGUCAGCAUGCCCCUUACGUCCUGGGCUACACACGUACUACAAUGCUGUGGACAAAGAGCAGCCAGACCGCGAGGUUGAGCUAAUCUCAUAAACCACGGCUCAGUUCAGAUUGCAGGCUGCAACUCGCCUGCAUGAAGGCGGAAUCGCUAGUAAUCGCAGGUCAGCAUACUGCGGUGAAUACGUUCCCGGGCCUUGUACACACCGCCCGUCACACCAUGGGAGUUGGCCACGCCCGAAGUCGUUACUCCAACCGCUUGCGGAGGAGGACGCCGAAGGCAGGGCUGAUGACUGGGGUGAAGUCGUAACAAGGUAACCA